UACGUAGGGGGCAAGCGUUGUUCGGAAUCAUUGGGCGUAAAGAGCGUGUAGGCGGCUCGGUAAGUCCGCUGUGAAAGUCCAGGGCUCAACCCUGGAAUGCCGGUGGAAACUGUCGAGCUAGAGUCCGGAAGAGGCGAGUGGAAUUCCUGGUGUAGCGGUGAAGUGCGCAGAUAUCAGGAGGAACACCGAUGGCGAAGGCAGCUCGCUGGGACGGUACUGACGCUGAGACGCGAAAGCGUGGGGAGCAAACAGG
rnacentral:rRNA from 1 species